rnacentral:RNase_P_RNA from 1 species
ACGGUGAGGUAAGAGCUCACCGCCUUUGUGGUGACACAAGGGGCACGGUAAACCCCACCUGGAGCAAGAUCAAAAAGGGACCUGGUGGCCCGCCUUUGGUCCCGGGUAGAUCGCUCGAGGCUGGUAGUAAUACCAGUCCCAGAUGAAUGGCCACCCUCGACAGAACUCGGCUUACAGCCUGCCCCGCAAA